GAUGAAGAACGUAGCGAAAUGCGAUAAGUAGUGUGAAUUGCAGAAUUCAGUGAAUCAUCGAAUCUUUGAACGCACAUUGCGCCCUUUGGUAUUCCUUAGGGCAUGCCUGUUCGAGCGUCAUUUAAACCUUCAAGCUAAGCUUGGUGUUGGGUGACUGUCCGCUUCACGGCGGACUCGCCUCAAAAUUAUUGGCGGCCGGUACAUUGGCUUCGAGCGCAGCAGAAACGCGAACUCGGGCCCGUCGUAUUGGCUCCCAGAAGCUGUCUUCACAAUUUUGACCUCGGAUCAGGUAGGGAUACCCGCUGAACUUAAGCAUAUCAAUAAGCGGAGGA
rnacentral:misc_RNA from 1 species